AUGACUGAGUUAGAUACAAAUCCAUUGGAACAGUUGGACCUUCUUAUAAAGUAUUUGGGACCGAGCUCAAAACAGCAUGCUCAGAACAUUAGAUGUGCUAAUGCUCAUAAUCCGGCUACUGCAGUGCGUCUUAUAUGGGAACGCUUAGAUUCUAGGUUCGGUAGUCCAGAGAUGAUAGAAUCGUCACUUCACUCACGUAUAGUUAACUUUCCCAAACUCUCGAACAAUAACCGAAUAGAACUCUACGAGUUAGCGGACUUAGCCGCUGAGAUCGAGUCAAUCCGCAAAGAUGAAAAGUUUGCCACCACAUUCGCUUACUUUGAUUCGUCUCUAGGCGUGAAUCGUUUUGUAACUAGAUUACCUUACAGUAUUCAAGAAAAAUGGACAACUACUGCCAAUGGUUAUAAGUCAAGAAACUUUGGAGCAUAUCCUCCAUUUUCUUUCUUUGUGCCAUUUUUGCAAAACAUUGCUAAAGUGCGUAAUGACCCUGGAUUUUUAUAUGACAAUCAAGACACCAAACCAUCCACAUCUAAACACACAAGAGUACAAAACCGAAAUCGAAGUCCUGCGAAAGUUUCAAGCAUUAAAACAGACAUUGGACACAGUGUUAAUAAACCACCUAAUAGUACUAGUAUUCAAAAGUCAAAAGAGGAUUUGUGUCCCCUUCAUGGAACUAACCAUACGCUCAACUCGUGCCGCGGUUUUCGUACUAAACCACUGUCAGAGAGACUUGAUUUAAUUAAGCAAAAAGGUUUGUGUUUCAAGUGUUGCGGACCUAAGAGACAUUUCCGUGACAAAUGUAAAGAGGAUGUCAAAUGCAGUGUUUGUGGUUCUCGUGACCAUCCGUCAGCCUUACAUGUAGAUAUUACAGCGAAACCCGAGAAAAAGCACGAGGAGGAGAAUUCUAAGGAACAAAUAAGCAGCAAAUGUACCAAAAUAUGUGAUUCGAUACACAAUACAAGUAAAUCAUGUGCUAAGAUAGUACUCGCCAAAGUAUAUCACUCCGAGAGACCAGAUCAUUUCAAAACUGUUUACUGCGUGAUCGACGACCAAAGCAACAGGACUUUAGCAACGUCAGAUUUCUUCAACUUCUUCGGCGAAAAUGACACUGAAACAGAAUAUGAACUUGCUUCUUGUGCAGGAAUGUUCAUUACGAGUGGAAGACGAGCUUCCGGAUACAUGUUAGCGUCACUUGACGGAUCAUCUUAUCUUAACGUACCUGAAAUUAUCGAAUGUAAUGACAUUCCAAACAACCGGGAAGAAAUACCGUCAUCUGUUGUAGCUUCAAGUUAUCCACACAUGAUGGACAUAGCAAGUUGUAUUCCUGACAUUGACAAUCAGUCUGAAAUACAGAUGUUAAUAGGCCGUGACCUAAUUAGAGCACACCAUGUUAUUGAACAUCGUAUAGGAGUCGACGAGGUACCGUACGCACAACAUUUGCCCUUAGGAUGGGUUAUAGUAGGGAAUGUAUGCCUAGGAAGACAAAAUGUUGUAAAUGUAAACAAAACUGUAAUUUUGAACAAUGGACGACCUACAUUAUUGUCCCCGUGUGAUAGCCACAUGUCAGUGAAAUUAGACCCAAUCUUCAACAAGACUCAACUAGACGAAACGGAAGGCACGUCAAUAGAGGAUCAAACCUUUUUAAACAUUAUGUCAUCAGGAUUCUUCAAACAAGAUGAUGGACACUGGAUCGCGCCACUACCAUUUAAACCCAACAAACCUUCUUUAGAAAACAACAAACAAAUUGCAGAGCGUAGAGCUAAAUCUUUCGACAUGAACUUACGUUGCAACUCCGUAAAGCGCACACAUGUGUUAGAAUUUAUGCAGAAACUGUUAGACCGAGAACAUGCCCAGAUAGCACCCAAACUAUCGCCAGGUACUGAGUGCUGGUACCUGCCUAUGUUCGCAGUGUAUCAUCCAAGGAAACCAGAAAGUGUAAGAGUAGUUUUCGACUCUUCAGCAAAACAUCAUGGACUAUCUUUGAACGACGUCUUGUUGAAAGGUCCAGAUAUUUAUAACAGCCUACUUGGAAUUUUACUCCGUUUUAGGAAAGAAGCUUAUGCCGUAACCGUUGAUAUCGAACAGAUGUUCCAUAACUUCAGAGUCAUCGAUGAACAUAGACGUUUCUUGCGCUUCCUGUGGCACAAGGACAACGAUUUUGAUAAACCGCUAACUGAAUAUCAGAUGUUAGUACACGUCUUCGGCAACAGUCCGUCCCCAGCAGUGGCUACGUAUGGUCUGAGACGAACUGUCCAACACGCUGAACUUGAUGUGAAAGAGUUUGUUAGCAACGACUUCUACGUAGACGAUGGUCUUACCUCGUGCGCAACGCCAGAGGGAGUUAUUGAUCUUGUUCAAAGAACUAAACAAACUUUAUAUGACAAUGGCAGACUUAGAUUGCAUAAAGUUGCAUCUAACAGCAGGUUAGUGCUCGAAGCAUUUCAUUCAGAUGACCUUGCCAAAAAUCUCAAGGACCUCGACCUUGGAUCGGCAGAUCUUCCGAUGCAGAGGAGCUUAGGUCUUUCAUGGAACACAGAACUGGACGAGUUCACCUUUAGAGUAUCUUCUGACAUCAAGCCAUUUACACGCCGCGGAGUUCUGUCAACAAUUAACAGUCUGUAUGACCCAGUUGGCUUUGCUGCACCAGUGAUAAUAAGAGGCAAAUUACUCAUGCGCCAGAUGCUCUCAUCUUCAUCUACUUCUGAUUGGGACGAUCCACUUCCAGAACUUCUAAAUCAACAAUGGGAAUCUUGGGUACAAUCAUUGAGCGAACUUGAAAAUUUUCGUAUAUCUAGAAAGUACAAUGGAUCUUCAUUUGUCAAUAGUGUUAAACGAGAAAUUCACAUAUUCUCAGACGCUUCUAAAGAUGCAAUAGCAGCUGUCGCAUAUAUCAAACUUUAUAGCGCAAAUACUGUUAACACUAGCUUUCUUUUCGGAAAAGCCAAAGUUGCCCCGUCUCAUGGACACACAAUUCCACGUCUGGAACUGUGCGCUGCAGUCUUAGCAGCAGAGCUAUCUGACAUUAUUCGAGAUCAAUUAGAUAUCGACCCAGAUGAUUUUUAUUAUUAUACAGACAGUCGUGUAGUACUUGGAUAUCUGACAAACGAAACAAGACGCUUCUACAUAUAUGUUGGUAACAGGGUAAGCCGUAUUCGUUCUUCAUGUAAACCUACUCAGUGGUCUCAUGUGUCUACGAAUGACAACCCAGCUGAUUUAGCUACUAGGUCCAUUAGCACGAAAGAUCUUCCAGAGAGUCUUUGGAUAAAGGGCCCUAACUUGCUCUCAAUUAAUGACAAACAUGAUGAACACGAUCAUUUAUUAGUAGAUCCCGAAAAUGACAAAGAAAUACGUCCAUCAGUUAGCUGUAAGAAAACAGAUCUCAAAAUCGAAGACAAUAAAACGUUAUUAGGAUGUAGUAGAUUCGACAAGUUUUCUAAAUGGACACGUCUUGUAAGAAGCAUCGCCUUUAUAAAAUCAGCCAUUCGUAGGAAACUGCACCAAGAAGGAGUUACCUCAACUGAUCUGCUAAGAGACUCUGUAAAUUUAAUACUACGCUCAGUUCAACAGGAUGUUUUCUCCGACGAGAUUAAGUUGCUUCAAGAAGGAAAAAAUGUAACUUCAAGAAGCCAGUUGGCUCAACUAUCACCUAUACUAGGCUCAGAUGAACUCGUUAGAGUAGGAGGAAGGCUCAAACACGCUACUGUAAAUGAUUCAUUAGACAUGUCCCACCAUCCUGUGAUCCUUCCAAAGAACCACCAUGUUUCGUUACUUGUUAUUCACCAUUUUCAUGAAAGUAUACACCAUCAAGGUAGACAUUUGACCGAAGGCGCAAUCCGUGCCGGUGGCUAUUGGAUUAUUAGUGCGAAACGUUCUAUUUCAACUCUCAUCAACAAGUGCAUAAUUUGUAAGAAGCUCAGAGAAAAACUUGAAUGGCAGCAAAAUAUGUCCGAUCUCCCAACAGAUCGACUUAGCCCUUGUCCUCCGUUUUCUUAUGUCGGCGUGGACACAUUCGGUCCAUGGUCCGUCGUAUUUCGCAAAACUAGAGGAGGCUCAGCUAAUCAGAAACGUUGGGCGUUACUGUUUACAUGCAUGACCACACGCGCUGUGCAUAUCGAAGUGAUAGAAGACAUGUCAACCUCGUCUUUCAUCAACGCUAUGAGACGCGUAAUUGCAGUGAGAGGUCCUAUCAUCCAAUUUCGUUCUGAUCGAGGAACUAAUUUCAUUGGAGCAACAUCAGAGCUCAAUAUUGACCCUGAAUUUGUCGAAAAAGGACCAAUCAAGGAAUUCUUACUGAAAUCCGGAACUACCUGGAUAUUUAAUCCACCUUACGCACAUCAUAUGGGUGGCUCAUGGGAGAGACUUAUUGGUGUUUCUCGUCGGAUACUCGACAGCUUGUUAUUGGAAAACAAAAGUAAGACAAUUACACACGAAGUGCUUGUUACACUAAUGGCUGAAGUUAUGGCCAUCAUAAACAAUAGACCAUUACUACCAGUUUCAACUGAUCCAGAGUGUCCCAGUAUUUUGAGUCCGUCGUCACUGCUUACGAUGAAAACUUCACCAGACGUGAAACCGUUUCCUUUAUUCGGUCCAAAGGAUAUGUUGAAAUCUCAAUGGAAAUGUGCACAAGGAUUAGCAGAAGAGUUUUGGCGUAGAUGGAAAUCCGAAUAUCUUCAUGAACUUCAGAUUCGUACAAAGUGGCAAACUGACCGUCGUAAUCUACAAGUUGGUGACUUAAUUCUCAUGAAAGAUCAGGAUACGCCACGUAAUUCAUGGCCCGUAGGACUGGUGGACAGGAUAUUUCCAAGCUCGGACGGCAAAAUUCGAAAAGUGGAAGUCGCCAUCGUCAAAGACGGAAAGCGCACAACUUAUACCAGACCAAUUACCGAAUUGGUAACUCUCCUUGAAGUGGACUAACUAUAAUACAUGUAGUGACAUUGUGUUUUAUUCUGACAAUCAAAUUUGAUACAUACACAAUUAUUAUAACAUUGUAAGGGACAC
rnacentral:sRNA from 1 species